AUUGAACGCUGGCGGAAUGCUUUACACAUGCAAGUCGAACGGCAGCACGGACUUCGGUCUGGUGGCGAGUGGCGAACGGGUGAGUAAUGUAUCGGAACGUGCCCAGUCGUGGGGGAUAACGUAGUGAAAAUUACGCUAAUACCGCAUACGAUCUAUGGAUGAAAGAGGGGGAUCGCAAGACCUCGAGCGAUUGGAGCGGCCGAUAGCAGAUUAGGUAGGUGGUGGGGUAAAGGCCCCACAAGCCAACGAUCUGUAGCUGGGCUGAGAGGACGACCAGCCAAACUGGAACUGAGACACGGUCCAGACUCCUACGGGAGGCAGCAGUGGGGAAUGUUGGACAAUGGGCGAAAGCCUGAUCCAGCCAUUCCGCGUGCAGGAUGAAGGCCCUCGGGUUGUAAACUGCUUUUGUACAGAACGAAAAGGUUUCUACUAAUACUAGGAGCUCAUGACGGUACUGUAAGAAUAAGCACCGGCUAACUACGUGCCAGCCGCCGCCGUAA
rnacentral:rRNA from 1 species